GACGAACGCUGGCGGCGUGCUUAACACAUGCAAGUCGAACGCUGAAGCCCAGCUUGCUGGGUGGAUGAGUGGCGAACGGGUGAGUAACACGUGAGUAACCUGCCCUCUUCUUUGGGAUAACGCCCGGAAACGGGUGCUAAUACUGGAUAUUCACUGAUUCUCGCUUGGGGGUUGGUGGAAAGGUUUUUUCUGGUGGGGGAUGGGCUCGCGGCCUAUCAGCUUGUUGGUGGGGUGAUGGCCUACCAAGGCGUUGUCGGGUAGCCGGGCUGAGAGGGUGACCGGUCACAUUAGGACUGAGAUACGGCCCGGACUCCUACGGGAGGCAGCAGUGGGGAAUAUUGCAGAAUGGGCGAAAGCCUGAUGCAGCGACGCCGCGUGAGGGAUGGAGGCCUUCGGGUUGUAAACCUCUUUCGCUCAUGGUCAAGCCGCAGCUUUGGGUUGUGGUGAGGGUAGUGGGUAAAGAAGCGCCGGCUAACUACGUG
rnacentral:rRNA from 1 species